GUGGUCGUAUCAUAAUUGGACUAAUGAUCUUGACUGUGAUUCAAGAAGAUGCGGGUUCAACUCCCGUCGACCACCCCA
rnacentral:tRNA from 1 species